GGGUUGUGAGGUUAAGCGACUAAGCGUACACGGUGGAUGCCCUGGCAGUCAGAGGCGAUGAAGGGCGUGCUAAUCUGCGAUAAGCGCCGGUAAGGUGAUAUGAACCGUUAUAACCGGCGAUACCCGAAUGGGGAAACCCAGUGUGAUUCGUCACACUAUCAUUACGUGAAUACAUAGCGUAAUGAAGCGAACCGGGGGAACUGAAACAUCUAAGUACCCCGAGGAAAAGAAAUCAACCGAGAUUCCCCCAGUAGCGGCGAGCGAACGGGGAGGAGCCCAGAGCCUGAAUCAGCAUGUGUGUUAGUGGAAGCGUCUGGAAAGGCGCGCGAUACAGGGUGACAGCCCCGUACACAAAAGCGCAU
rnacentral:rRNA from 1 species